GAAUCCAUAGAGGAGAGUAGGGAUUGAGUUCUAUAUAUAUUGAGCUAUUCUCAUUCUAUCUUGGAAUCGGAAUCAGAAUGGGACUCCUCUCAACCAAACGAUUGGAAUGGAAGUCAUCCAUUCUGAUUUCGAUUUCACAUCUCCACUCCCCCAAUCAAACACCUCCUUAAAGUAUAGGUACGACUUUCUUCUUUUGUCUCUCAAAAAAAUAAUUUUUUUUCAAGAAAAUAUUCAUAUCAAGGAGGUGUUAGGAGUUAUGAUCAACUCUAGAGGGCUGCUAGGUGGCCAUGUUUUGGCGG
rnacentral:lncRNA from 1 species